UUCAGUUGAUCAGCAUAGCCAGGUUCUCUGGCCAGACACAUUUAUUCAGCAUCAUGAUCAGACUAUUACAUUUAGCAAUCAACAGCAUGGGUGCAAAAAAAAAAAA